GUAACAAGGUCUCCGUUGGUGAACCAGCGGAGGGAUCAUUACCGAGUUUACAACUCCCAAACCCCUGUGAACAUACCAAUUGUUGCCUCGGCGGAUCAGCCCGCUCCCGGUAAAACGGGACGGCCCGCCAGAGGACCCCUAAACUCUGUUUCUAUAUGUAACUUCUGAGUAAAACCAUAAAUAAAUCAAAACUUUCAACAACGGAUCUCUUGGUUCUGGCAUCGAUGAAGAACGCAGCAAAAUGCGAUAAGUAAUGUGAAUUGCAGAAUUCAGUGAAUCAUCGAAUCUUUGAACGCACAUUGCGCCCGCCAGUAUUCUGGCGGGCAUGCCUGUUCGAGCGUCAUUUCAACCCUCAAGCCCAGCUUGGUGUUGGGACUCGCGAGUCAAAUCGCGUUCCCCAAAUUGAUUGGCGGUCACGUCGAGCUUCCAUAGCGUAGUAGUAAAACCCUCGUUACUGGUAAUCGUCGCGGCCACGCCGUUAAACCCCAACUUCUGAAUGUUGACCUCGGAUCAGGUAGGAAUACCCGCUGAACUUAAGCAUAUCAGCGGAGCAAAAGAAACCAACAGGGAUUGCCCUAGUAACGGCGAGUGAAGCGGCAACAGCUCAAAUUUGAAAUCUGGCUCUCGGGCCCGAGUUGUAAUUUGUAGAGGAUACUUUUGAUGCGGUGCCUUCCGAGUUCCCUGGAACGGGACGCCAUAGAGGGUGAGAGCCCCGUCUGGUUGGAUGCCAAAUCUCUGUAAAGUUCCUUCGACGAGUCGAGUAGUUUGGGAAUGCUGCUCUAAAUGGGAGGUAUAUGUCUUCUAAAGCUAAAUACCGGCCAGAGACCGAUAGCGCACAAGUAGAGUGAUCGAAAGAUGAAAAGCACUUUGAAAAGAGAGUUAAAAAGUACGUGAAAUUGUUGAAAGGGAAGCGUUUAUGACCAGACUUGGGCUUGGUUAAUCAUCUGGGGUUCUCCCCAGUGCACUUUUCCAGUCCAGGCCAGCAUCAGUUUUCCCCGGGGGAUAAAGACUUCGGGAAUGUGGCUCUCUUCGGGGAGUGUUAUAGCCCGUUGUGUAAUACCCUGGGGGGGACUGAGGUUCGCGCAUCUGCAAGGAUGCUGGCGUAAUGGUCAUCAACGACCCGUCU
rnacentral:rRNA from 1 species